ACACUCCUUCAACUGCAGCAACCCAUUAAUCAGUUUUUUCCAUCAGUUUUGUCCCCGUUCGCUUCUCCGCCAAUUUGCUGCAAUUCAGUCACUACCAAUGGUUAGCGGCGCCGAUUCGUGGACAAUUUUCAGUUAUAUUUCAUUGUGAAAUUUUACAAGGAAGUUCUGGGAGCAAGAUGAUAUCGGUCCGUGGUUCGAAGCGAUAUUUCAUUAAUAUGUACAAAGAUAUGUGAUCUUAUUCCAACCAGUCGAAGUUUGUGCGAUUAAGGGUAUUUACAGGUAAAAUUCCUGAAAAUCGAGAUUACAUCUGCAUAAAGAUCCAUUUGGGAACUAUAACUAAGAAGGACAGGUAUUAUUUUAACCAUUACUUUCAUGCUUAUUAUUUUUCAUCAU